rnacentral:rRNA from 1 species
CAUGCACGUCUAAGUACAAACUAAAUGAUGGUGAAACUGCAAAUGGCUCAUUACAACGGUUAUGAUGUACCCGGGAGUUCCGAUGGAUAUUUCCAGUAACACUAGAACUAAUACAUGCUCCUGCGUUUAUUAGUUUCGCACAGUCCGUCGCUGAGUCAUGGUAAACAGUUGAUCGACUCGACGUCCCGGAACAGUUUCCGCCCCAUCAGCUUCGAUGGUUGGGUAUUGGCCUACCAUUGCAACAACGGGUAACGAGGAAUUAGGGUUUGAUUUCGGAGAGGGAGCCUGAGAAACGGCUACCACAUCUACGGAUGGCAGCAGGCGCGCAAAUUACCCAAUGCAGACUCUGUGAGGUAGUGACGAGAAAUAAUAAAGCGGGACUUCUGUUUCGCUAUUAUAAUGAGGAAUAACCAAAGGUCAUUCCGAUUAGCAACUGAUGGGAAAGUCUGGUGCCAGCAGCCGCGGUAAUACCAGCGUCAGUAGCAUAUAUUAAGAUUGUUGCAGUUAAAACGUCCGUAGUCUGUACGUCGUCCCAAACUCACUGCAGUCUUCCGUUUUCUUCAUUGAAUGCGGUAGUUUCUGCAGUCACUCCCUUGAUCAAAUUAGGUUGUUCAAGGUAGACCAAGUCUUCAUAUUUUCACAUGGAAUUGGGUGAGGGAACUUAAGAGUUUAAGUUUCUCGUCUUAGGAUCAUCCGGGGUCAUUCGUACUCGUCCGCGAGAGGUGAAAUUCUUGGACCGGACGAAGACGACCAGCAGCGAAAGCAUCUGUCAGGGAUGUUUUCUGCGACAAAGGACGAAGGUCAGG